rnacentral:lncRNA from 1 species
GUCAAGGCGUAGGGUAGUUAUGGAGAGAGAGGGGAGAAAGAGGUCAAGGCGUAUGGUAGUUAUGGAGAGAGAGGGGAGAAAGAGGUCAAGGCGUAUGGUAGUUUUGUGUGAGUGGGACCAGUGGACUCAAUAGGCUGAGUGAAUGAGGAGCAGAUGUCGUCUGGAGAGAGAUGGGAGAAAGAGGUCAAGGUGUAUGGUAGUUAUGGAGAGAGAGGGGAGAAAGAGGUCAAGGCGUAGGGUAGUUAUGGAGAGAGAGGGGAGAAAGAGGUCAAGGCGUAUGGUAGUUAUGGAGAGAGAGGGGAGAAAGAGGUCAAGGCGUAUGGUAGUUAUGGAGAGAGAUGGGAGAAAGAGGUCAAGGCGUAUUGUAGUUCUGGAGAGAGAGGGGAGAAUGAGGUCAAGGCGUAUUGUAGUUAUGGAGAGAGAGGGGAGAAAGAGGUCAAGGUGUAUGGUAGUUAUGGAGAGAGAGGGGAGAAAGAGGUCAAGGUGUAUGGUAGUUAUGGAGAGAGAGGGGAGAAAGAGGUCAAGGCGUAUGGUAGUUAUGGAGAGAGAUGGGAGAAAGAGGUCAAGGCGUAUGGUAGUUAUGGAGAGAGAGGGGAGAAAGAGGUCAAGCCGUAUGGUAGUUAUGGAGAGAGAGGGGAGAAAGAGGUCAAGGCGUAUGGUAGUUAUGGAGAGAGAGGGGAGAAAGAGGUCAAGGUGUAUGGUAGUUAUGGAGAGAGAGGGGAGAAAGAGGUCAAGGCGUAUGGUAGUUAUGGAGAGAGAUGGGAUAAAGAGGUCAAGGCGUAUGGUAGUUAUGGAGAGAGAGGGGAGAAAGAGGUCAAGGCGUAUGGUAGUUAUGGAGAGAGAGGGGAGAAAGAGGUCAAGGCGUAUGGUAGUUAUGGAGAGAGAUGGGAGAACGAGGUCAAGGUGUAUGGUAGUUAUGGAGAGAGAUGGGAUAAAGAGGUCAAGGUGUAUGGUAGUUAUGGAGAGAGAGGGGAGAAAGAGGUCAAGGCGUAUGGUAGUUAUGGAGAGAGAUGGGAGAACGAGGUCAAGGUGUAUGGUAGUUAUGGAGAGAGAGGGGAGAAAGAGGUCAAGGUGUAUGGUAGUUAUGGAGAGAGAGGGGAGAAAGAGGUCAAGGCGUAUGGUAGUUAUGUGUGAGUGGGACCAGUGGACUCAGUAGGCUGAGUGAAUGAGGAGCAGAUGCCCUCUAGUGACCACUAUUCCAACACUAUAGUCAAUUACUUUGGGCCAAAGUCUCCCAAAGCUGUCUAAUACAUCUGGUCUAAAGUAGUGCACUAGGAAGGGAACAGGGCUCUGGUCUAAAGUAGUGCACUAUGAAGGGAACAGGGCUCUGGUCUAAAGUAGUGCACUAUGAAGGGAACAGGGCUCUGGUCUAAAGUAGUGCACUAUGAAGGGAACAGGGCUCUGGUCUAAAGUAGUGCACUAUGAAGGGAACAGGGCUCUGGUCUAAAGUAGUGCACUAUGAAGGGAACAGGGCUCUGGUCUACAGUAGUGCACUAUGAAGGGAACAGGGCUCUGGUCUACAGUAGUGCACUAUGAAGGGAACAGGGCUCCGUAGAGGAAUUUGGUGCCAUUUUAGAUUGGCCCUGUGUAUAUGCAACAUGAUAUAUCUAAUGUUGUUAGAUUAUAUAUAUUAGUGUAAAUUAUGUUAUUUGAUCUAUAUUAAUGUAAAUGAUGCUGUAUGAUGUAAAUGUCUCAGAAAAUAAACUGCCUGAUCCCGAAAGAACCAAUAAAAACCCAGAUGACAAAG